GUGGGAAGGGACUGAGUGCGGGCAGUGGAAGUUGUUGGGGGGUGUGUGGAGACUGAAGGAGGGCCGGCUCCAUUCUUCACUUUUGCAGAAUAAUCCCAUGCGCGGAGAGUCAUAAACCCCAGUGAAAUUAGUAAGAGUUUUCACGUAAAAUUUGGGCGUACGUUCCCAUUGCACUGCUGUAAAUUUCUGUUAAGGUUGGCGGGUGUUGCUCUUGAGGAAGCGCUUAUAGGAUUACCCUAUAAGGACUAGCCUUUUCCUUGAAUCUUUGUCACAAGGGCUCUUUUCCGGCACCAGCGUUGGAGACUUUUGCCCCCCCUCCCCCCGGAUUGUGCGAAGACCAGAGGCAAGAAGUAGCACUUCGGAAAAGCUGAAAGGGAGACCUUUGCUACUAGCCAUCUUUGUACAAACUAUUUUGAGUUCGCCUGUAUGAUAAACUUCAGAGAAUUAGCCUUCGGUGAAAACAAAAGGGAUUUAGGGGUACUUUGAAAACUAAAGGAGACGAUCGAUCUAUUCCUGCCACAGAAAAUCACUCUUUAAGAUGUGUUCAACACCGGAUUAGGAGCCGUGCUGAGCCAGGCGGAUGACAAUGGGGACCUUCAUCUGGUGACGUUUCUGAGUAAGAAACUGCAGACUGGCGAGAGACACCUUUCCACAAUAGAACAGCCCGUCUUAAAAAGACUGAAAUACUGGGAAAUGAAUGAGAAAUCGGAUUUUCUGCUUCAAGAGACAGAACAACAUGUGACUUGGAGGAUUGCUGUGUUUGCAGUAAAAGAUG